rnacentral:lncRNA from 1 species
CCUGUUCUUUUUUAUUUUUAAUCAAUGUUUUUAGGCAAUAAUUAUGGUUAAUGUACAGUGAGACAUAACUCGAUCGAUCCGAAGGAGAAUGGUAAUCGGAAGAAAGAGGGAGAUAGAUAGGUGUUAUUACCCAUUAGAUAAAAUCUGAAAUCUAUGUUGUAACUUUUUUUUAUCCUCUCUUGGUCAUGUUCUCCAGUGAAAACAAAAAGAAAAUACAAUUUUAU